GCUCGGUUACCUCUGCCUGUUUCCGGACCACAUUGUCGGGGCUGAGCAGGUUUCCCAGGAGUAGUUUUCCGAGUUGAGUCUCAGGGAUUUGAAGACAUGGUACAGCACUUUCUGAGCGUGUUCCUCGCUUAGGAAUUUCCUUUCCCUGCUGGCUGGACAUUAAAUAGAUUUGUGAACCUUUAGAAGAAAUGGACAAGCUGAUCCUAGAAUUCGUAUGAGUUGCAAGAGACUACAAAGAACCAAAAGAAUCUUGAACAAAACAAAAUUGGAGGACUCACACCUUGAUUUUUAAGCUUACCACAAAGCUACAAUAAUCAAAACGCUGUGCUACUGGC